ACUCUAAGCGGUGGAUCACUCGGCUCAUGGGUCGAUGAAGAACGCAGCAAACUGUGCGUCAUCGUGUGAACUGCAGGACACAUGAACAUCGACAUUUUGAACGCAUAUCGCAGUCCAUGCUGUUAUGUACUUUAAUUAAUUUUAUAGUGCUGCUUGGACUACAUAUGGUUGAGGGUUGUAAGACUAUGCUAAUUAAGUUGCUUAUAAAUUUUUAUAAGCAUAUGGUAUAUUAUUGGAUAAAUAUAAUAAUUUUUAUUCAUAAUAUUAAAAAAUAAAUGAAAAACAUUAUCUCACAUUUGAAUGUGAAAAACGAAGAGAAAUAUUUUCUUUUUCAAUCAAAUAAUACUGAGAAAUGUCUAGCAUAAAAAAUUGAAAUAUUUUUCAUCUAGAAUUGUCUCUUAUUAAUGAUUCGGAAAUAGAAAAAUCUUGGUUAUGUUAUUAUUCUUCGUUGGUUCGUUAAAAAUGGAUAAAUAAAAACUUUGCAUACAAGAAUUAAUAAAAAUGUUAUAACGAAUUUAAUUAAAUGUUUUAUCAUUAUAUAUAAAGAAUUUAUGGCAAGAUAAAGUUAUAUACAACCUCAACUCAUAUGGGACUACCCCCUGAAUUUAAGCAUAUUAAUUAGGGGAGGAAAAGAAACUAACAAGGAUUUUCUUAGUAGCGGCGAGCGAAAAGAAAACAGUUCAGCACUAAGUCACUUUGUCUAUAUGGCAAAUGUGAGAUGCAGUGUAUGGAGCGUCAAUAUUCUAGUAUGAGAAAUUAACGAUUUAAGUCCUUCUUAAAUGAGGCCAUUUACCCAUAGAGGGUGCCAGGCCCGUAUAACGUUAAUGAUUACUAGAUGAUGUUUCCAAAGAGUCGUGUUGCUUGAUAGUGCAGCACUAAGUGGGUGGUAAACUCCAUCUAAAACUAAAUAUAACCAUGAGACCGAUAGUAAACAAGUACCGUGAGGGAAAGUUGAAAAGAACUCUGAAUAGAGAGUUAAACAGUACGUGAAACUGCUUAGAGGUUAAGCCCGAUGAACCUGAAUAUCCGUUAUGGAAAAUUCAUCAUUAAAAUUGUAAUAUUUAAAUAAUAUUAUGAGAAUAGUGUGCAUUUUUUCCAUAUAAGGACAUUGUAAUCUAUUAGCAUAUACCAAAUUUAUCAUAAAAUAUAACUUAUAGUUUAUUCCAAUUAAAUUGCUUGCAUUUUAACACAGAAUAAAUGUUAUUAAUUUGAUAAAGUGCUGAUAGAUUUAUAUGAUUACAGUGCGUUAAUUUUUCGGAAUUAUAUAAUGGCAUAAUUAUCAUUGAUUUUUGUGUUUAUUAUAUGCACUUGUAUGAUUAACAAUGCGAAAGAUUCAGGAUACCUUCGGGACCCGUCUUGAAACACGGACCAAGGAGUCUAACAUAUGUGCAAGUUAUUGGGAUAUAAACCUAAUAGCGUAAUUAACUUGACUAAUAAUGGGAUUAGUUUUUUAGCUAUUUAUAGCUAAUUAACACAAUCCCGGGGCGUUCUAUAUAGUUAUGUAUAAUGUAUAUUUAUAUUAUUUAUGCCUCUAACUGGAACGUACCUUGAGCAUAUAUGCUGUGACCCGAAAGAUGGUGAACUAUACUUGAUCAGGUUGAAGUCAGGGGAAACCCUGAUGGAAGACCGAAACAGUUCUGACGUGCAAAUCGAUUGUCAGAAUUGAGUAUAGGGGCGAAAGACCAAUCGAACCAUCUAGUAGCUGGUUCCUUCCGAAGUUUCCCUCAGGAUAGCUGGUGCAUUUUAAUAUUAUAUAAAAUAAUCUUAUCUGGUAAAGCGAAUGAUUAGAGGCCUUAGGGUCGAAACGAUCUUAACCUAUUCUCAAACUUUAAAUGGGUAAGAACCUUAACUUUCUUGAUAUGAAGUUCAAGGUUAUGAUAUAAUGUGCCCAGUGGGCCACUUUUGGUAAGCAGAACUGGCGCUGUGGGAUGAACCAAACGUAAUGUUACGGUGCCCAAAUUAACAACUCAUGCAGAUACCAUGAAAGGCGUUGGUUGCUUAAAACAGCAGGACGGUGAUCAUGGAAGUCGAAAUCCGCUAAGGAGUGUGUAACAACUCACCUGCCGAAGCAACUAGCCCUUAAAAUGGAUGGCGCUUAAGUUGUAUACCUAUACAUUACCGCUAAAGUAGAUGAUUUAUAUUACUUGUGAUAUAAAUUUUGAAACUUUAGUGAGUAGGAAGGUACAAUGGUAUGCGUAGAAGUGUUUGGCGUAAGCCUGCAUGGAGCUGCCAUUGGUACAGAUCUUGGUGGUAGUAGCAAAUAAUCGAAUGAGACCUUGGAGGACUGAAGUGGAGAAGGGUUUCGUGUGAACAGUGGUUGAUCACGAGUUAGUCGGUCCUAAGUUCAAGGCGAAAGCCGAAAAUUUUCAAGUAAAACAAAAAUGCCUAACUAUAUAAACAAAGCGAAUUAUAAUACACUUGAAUAAUUUUGAACGAAAGGGAAUACGGUUCCAAUUCCGUAACCUGUUGAGUAUCCGUUUGUUAUUAAAUAUGGGCCUCGUGCUCAUCCUGGCAACAGGAACGACCAUAAAGAAGCCGUCGAGAGAUAUCGGAAGAGUUUUCUUUUCUGUUUUAUAGCCGUACUACCAUGGAAGUCUUUCGCAGAGAGAUAUGGUAGAUGGGCUAGAAGAGCAUGACAUAUACUGUUGUGUCGAUAUUUUCUCCUCGGACCUUGAAAAUUUAUGGUGGGGACACGCAAACUUCUCAACAGGCCGUACCAAUAUCCGCAGCUGGUCUCCAAGGUGAAGAGUCUCUAGUCGAUAGAAUAAUGUAGGUAAGGGAAGUCGGCAAAUUAGAUCCGUAACUUCGGGAUAAGGAUUGGCUCUGAAGAUUGAGAUAGUCGGGCUUGAUUGGGAAACAAUAACAUGGUUUAUGUGCUCGUUCUGGGUAAAUAGAGUUUCUAGCAUUUAUGUUAGUUACUUGUUCCCCGGAUAGUUUAGUUACGUAGCCAAUUGUGGAACUUUCUUGCUAAAAUUUUUAAGAAUACUAUUUGGGUUAAACCAAUUAGUUCUUAUUAAUUAUAACGAUUAUCAAUUAACAAUCAAUUCAGAACUGGCACGGACUUGGGGAAUCCGACUGUCUAAUUAAAACAAAGCAUUGUGAUGGCCCUAGCGGGUGUUGACACAAUGUGAUUUCUGCCCAGUGCUCUGAAUGUCAAAGUGAAGAAAUUCAAGUAAGCGCGGGUCAACGGCGGGAGUAACUAUGACUCUCUUAAGGUAGCCAAAUGCCUCGUCAUCUAAUUAGUGACGCGCAUGAAUGGAUUAACGAGAUUCCUACUGUCCCUAUCUACUAUCUAGCGAAACCACAGCCAAGGGAACGGGCUUGGAAUAAUUAGCGGGGAAAGAAGACCCUUUUGAGCUUGACUCUAAUCUGGCAGUGUAAGGAGACAUAAG
rnacentral:rRNA from 1 species